ACGUUAGCGGCGGACGGGUGAGCAACACGUGGGUAACCUACCUAUAAGACUGGGAUAACUUGGGAAACCGGAGCUAAUACCGGAUAAUAUUUCGAACCGCAUGGUUCGAUAGUGAAAGAUGGUUUUGCUAUCACUUAUAGAUGGACCCGCGCCGUAUUAGCUAGUUGGUAAGGUAACGGCUUACCAAGGCGACGAUACGUAGCCGACCUGAGAGGGUGAUCGGCCACACUGGAACUGAGACACGGUCCAGACUCCACGGGAGGCAGCAGCC
rnacentral:rRNA from 1 species